rnacentral:rRNA from 1 species
GACGAACGCUGGCGGCACGCUUAACACAUGCAAGUCGAACGAGAGAAGAGAAGCUUGCUUUUCUGAUCUAGUGGCGGACGGGUGAGUAACACGUGAGCAAUCUGCCUUUCAGAGGGGGAUACCGAUUGGAAACGAUCGUUAAUACCGCAUAACAUAAUUGAACCGCAUGAUUUGAUUAUCAAAGAUUUAUCGCUGAAAGAUGAGCUCGCGUCUGAUUAGCUAGUUGGUAAGGUAACGGCUUACCAAGGCGACGAUCAGUAGCCGGACUGAGAGGUUGAUCGGCCACAUUGGGACUGAGACACUGCCCAGACUCCUACGGGAGGCAGCAGUGGGGAAUAUUGCACAAUGGAGGAAACUCUGAUGCAGCGAUGCCGCGUGAGGGAAGAAGGUUUUAGGAUUGUAAACCUCUGUCUUCAGGGACGAAAAAAGACGGUACCUGAGGAGGAAGCUCCGGCUAACUACGUG